rnacentral:tRNA from 1 species
GCCUGGGUGGCUCAGUCGGUUAAGCGUCCGACUUUGGCUCAGGUCAUGAUCUCACGGUUUGUGGGUUCGAGCCCCACGUCGGGCU